AAGACUAUAGACCUGCGGAGUACCUGCGGAGGGAUCAUUAAAGAGUACCGGAGCUCUCGGGCUCCUACUCCCACCCUAUGAUGACUUUAAAUGUUGCUUUGGCGGACCGGCAAUAUUGCCACCGGCCUAGGCUGGAUAGCGUCCGCCGGAGGAUUUUUAAAUUCCUUUGAAGGUGAAUUCUGAGUCUUUGAAAAUUGAAUCAAAACUUUCAACAACGGAUCUCUAGAUCGGAAGAGCACA
rnacentral:misc_RNA from 1 species